rnacentral:rRNA from 1 species
UACGUAGGGUGCAAGCGUUAAUCGGAAUUACUGGGCGUAAAGGGCGCGUAGGCUGUGCUGUAAGUCAGGCGUGAAAGCCCCGGGCUCAACCUGGGAAUUGCGCUUGAUACUGCGGCGCUGGAAGGUGGGAGAGGAUGGCGGAAUUCCCAGUGUAGAGGUGAAAUUCGUAGAUAUUGGGAAGAACACCGGUGGCGAAGGCGGCCAUCUGGCCCAUUUUUGACGCUGAGGCGCGAAAGCGUGGGGAGCAAACAGG